CGAAAAUGUGAGAAAAGCAUGGCAAGCGGCUUUAAGGAGAAACGAUAUAACUAUCAACUCAAAACAAGCCAUAUGCCAUCAUCACUUUUGAAGUAGUGAUAUUUUGUGGAAACGUGAAAUUUGUGAUGAGAAGGGAAAUGUUCUUGGUGUGUCUGUGCCAUUUAAAAUUCCAAGGCUAAGUAAAGGGAUUGUGCCUUCACAAUUCCCCUGGUUUGAAGAAACCCCAAAUAUAGAAGAUACAUAUUCUAUACAUAUUGAUCAAAAUGUACACGACCUACAUAUUGAACAACAUGAAGAAAAUGAACAUGUGAUAGUACCAUCAUUAAAUAAUGCAAUAGAGGAUCGUACGACAAUGCAACAUGCAACAAAAUAGAAAAUUAUAAUGACAGAUAUUCAUUUAACCCUAUCAAAGAAGUCAUACUCAAAGAAGAUAUGACAUUACAAAUAAAUGUCUUAAAGCAACCUGUUUUAAAUAUUCCAUCGCACAUACAGAUUUAUAAUAAUAUAAAUAGAAUAGAACUGCUACAAGAGACAUUAUUUUCUUUUGAUAGCCUUGACAUAUGUUGUGGUACAAAUAAAAGUGAGAUUAAAGAUGUUGAAUAUAAUGAAGCUUUUAAAGAUAUUAAUGGUAUAUGGAGACA